rnacentral:rRNA from 1 species
AGGCGUAGCGAAAGCGAGUCUUAAUAGGGCGUCUAGUCGCUGGGAAUAGACCCGAAACCGGGCGAUCUAUCCAUGGGCAGGUUGAAGGUUGGGUAACACUAACUGGAGGACCGAACCGACUACCGUUGAAAAGUUAGCGGAUGACCUGUGGAUCGGAGUGAAAGGCUAAUCAAGCUCGGAGAUAGCUGGUUCUCCUCGAAAGCUAUUUAGGUAGCGCCUCAUGUAUCACUGUAGGGGGUAGAGCACUGUUUCGGCUAGGGGGUCAUCCCGACUUACCAAACCGAUGCAAACUCCGAAUACCUACAAGUGCCGAGCAUGGGAGACACACGGCGGGUGCUAACGUCCGUCGUGAAAAGGGAAACAACCCAGACCGUCAGCUAAGGUCCCAAAGUUAUGGUUAAGUGGGAAACGAUGUGGGAAGGCUUAGACAGCUAGGAGGUUGGCUUAGAAGCAGCCACCCUUUAAAGAAAGCGUAAUAGCUCACUAGUCGAGUCGGCCUGCGCGGAAGAUGUAACGGGGCUCAAACCAUACACCGAAGCUACGGGUAUCACGUAAGUGAUGCGGUAGAGGAGCGUUCUGUAAGCCUGUGAAGGUGAGUUGAGAAGCUUGCUGGAGGUAUCAGAAGUGCGAAUGCUGACAUGAGUAACGACAAUGGGUGUGAAAAACACCCACGCCGAAAGACCAAGGUUUCCUGCGCAACGUUAAUCGACGCAGGGUUAGUCGGUCCCUAAGGCGAGGCUGAAAAGCGUAGUCGAUGGAAAACAGGUUAAUAUUCCUGUACUUCUGGUUAUUGCGAUGGAGGGACGGAGAAGGCUAGGCCAGCUUGGCGUUGGUUGUCCAAGUUUAAGGUGGUAGGCUGAGAUCUUAGGUAAAUCCGGGAUCUUAAGGCCGAGAGCUGAUGACGAGCUAACUUUUAGUUAGCGAAGUGGUUGAUGCCAUGCUUCCAAGAAAAGCUUCUAAGCUUCAGGUAACCAGGAACCGUACCCCAAACCGACACAGGUGGUUGGGUAGAGAAUACCAAGGCGCUUGAGAGAACUCGGGUGAAGGAACUAGGCAAAAUGGCACCGUAACUUCGGGAGAAGGUGCGCCGGUGAGGGUGAAGGACUUGCUCCGUAAGCUCAUGCCGGUCGAAGAUACCAGGCCGCUGCGACUGUUUAUUAAAAACACAGCACUCUGCAAACACGAAAGUGGACGUAUAGGGUGUGACGCCUGCCCGGUGCCGGAAGGUUAAUUGAUGGGGUUAGCUAACGCGAAGCUCUUGAUCGAAGCCCCGGUAAACGGCGGCCGUAACUAUAACGGUCCUAAGGUAGCGAAAUUCCUUGUCGGGUAAGUUCCGACCUGCACGAAUGGCGUAACGAUGGCGGCGCUGUCUCCACCCGAGACUCAGUGAAAUUGAAAUCGCUGUGAAGAUGCAGUGUAUCCGCGGCUAGACGGAAAGACCCCGUGAACCUUUACUAUAGCUUUGCACUGGACUUUGAAUUUGCUUGUGUAGGAUAGGUGGGAGGCUUUGAAGCGUGGACGCCAGUUCGCGUGGAGCCAUCCUUGAAAUACCACCCUGGCAACUUUGAGGUUCUAACUCAGGUCCGUUAUCCGGAUCGAGGACAGUGUAUGGUGGGUAGUUUGACUGGGGCGGUCUCCUCCUAAAGAGUAACGGAGGAGUACGAAGGUGCGCUCAGACCGGUCGGAAAUCGGUCGUAGAGUAUAAAGGCAAAAGCGCGCUUGACUGCGAGACAGACACGUCGAGCAGGUACGAAAGUAGGUCUUAGUGAUCCGGUGGUUCUGUAUGGAAGGGCCAUCGCUCAACGGAUAAAAGGUACUCCGGGGAUAACAGGCUGAUACCGCCCAAGAGUUCAUAUCGACGGCGGUGUUUGGCACCUCGAUGUCGGCUCAUCACAUCCUGGGGCUGAAGCCGGUCCCAAGGGUAUGGCUGUUCGCCAUUUAAAGUGGUACGCGAGCUGGGUUUAGAACGUCGUGAGACAGUUCGGUCCCUAUCUGCCGUGGACGUUUGAGAUUUGAGAGGGGCUGCUCCUAGUACGAGAGGACCGGAGUGGACGAACCUCUGGUGUUCCGGUUGUCACGCCAGUGGCAUUGCCGGGUAGCUAUGUUCGGAAUAGAUAACCGCUGAAAGCAUCUAAGCGGGAAACUAGCCUCAAGAUGAGAUCUCACUGGAACCUUGAGUUCCCUGAAGGGCCGUCGAAGACUACGACGUUGAUAGGUUGGGUGUGUAAGCGCUGUGAGGCGUUGAGCUAACCAAUACUAAUUGCCCGUGAGGCUUGACCAUAUAACACCCAAGCAAUU